rnacentral:rRNA from 1 species
GGCGAUGUUUCAUUCAAAUUUCUGCCCUAUCAACUUUCGACGGUAGGGUAGUGGCCUACCGUGGUGGUAACGGGUGACGGAGGAUUAGGGUUCGAUUCCGGAGAGGGAGCCUGAGAAACGGCUACCACAUCCAAGGAAGGCAGCAGGCGCGCGAAUUACCCAAAUCCCAACUCGGGGAGGUAGUGACAAGAAAUAACGAUGCUCCGGCCAUCGGUCGGGUAAUCGGAAUGAGAACAAUUUAAAUCCCUUAUCGAGGAUCAAUUGGAGGGCAAGUCUGGUGCCAGCAGCCGCGGUAAUUCCAGCUCCAAUAGCGUAUAUUUAAGUUGCUGCGGUUAAAAAGCUCGUAGUCGGAUUUCGGGUGGCGCCUACCGGUCCGCCUUUGGUGAGUACUGGUAGGUACCACCUUUCUGCCGAGGACGGGGUGCUGGGCUUAGUUGUCUGGGCCUCGGAGUCGGCGAUGUCACUUUGAGUAAAUUAGGGUGUUCAAAGCAGGCUUAUGCUCUGUAUACACUAGCAUGGGAUGACACGAUAGGACUUCGGUUUAUCUUGUCGGUCUGUAGAUCGGAGUAAUGAUUAAGAGGGACAGUCGGGGGCAUUCGUAUUUCGUAGUCAGAGGUGAAAUUCUUGGAUUUACGGAAGACGAACUUCUGCGAAAGCAUUUGCCAAGGAUGUUUUCAUUGAUCAAGAACGAAAGUCGGGGGCUCGAAGACGAUUAGAUACCGUCGUAGUCUCGACCAUAAACGAUGC